GUGUGUGUGUAGAACGGACCGAGUUUCCCACUGGCACUGAGAGUAACUGCAGCGGGCGCGCGCGUGUGAGUGUGUGUGCGUUCUGCUUAAUGCAUCAGAUCAUCAUUUGGAUUCCUCAGAGUAAUCCAGAUGUUGACGGAUCGGGUGAUCAGAGGGAAGGUUGUCCUCUUCUGACUGCAGCAGGAGAACCGAGAGAAAAGAACCCGUUACAGAUCUGGAUAUGAGCAGCAGGACUGACCCUUUACCUUAUUCGCAUCAUUGACUCCUCAGAUUCCUAAACAUGCAGACACAGAAUGGCCAAGUGGGAGCUGAUUGAACUGAAAGAUUUAACCCCUAAUGAUGGGAUUGAGCUAGCGCCCCCCAGUGGAUCCACUGCAGUACUGCCAGCGUCCAAGCAGAAAGCUCCAGAGCCCUUCGCCGUGAGAUUGGUGGGCGAUGCUGUGAGUUUGGAGAAUGCCCGCUGGGUCAAUGGCAAACAUGGAGAAGGCCACCACUUCCAGCCCUGCAGCUACACCCAGCUGACCUGGUGUGACCUGUGUGGAGAAUU